rnacentral:rRNA from 1 species
GAUGAACGCUAGCGGUAGGCUUAAUACAUGCAAGUCGAGGGGCAGCAUGACUGUAGCAAUACAGUUGAUGGCGACCGGCAAACGGGUGCGGAACACGUACAGAACCUUCCUUCGAGCGGGGAAUAGCCCAGAGAAAUUUGGAUUAAUACCCCAUAGUAUUACGGAGUGGCAUCACUUUGUAAUUAAAGAUUUAUCACUUGAAGAUGGCUGUGCGGCUGAUUAGGUAGUUGGCGGGGUAACGGCCCACCAAGCCUGCGAUCAGUAACUGGUGUGAGAGCACGACCAGUCACACGGGCACUGAGACACGGGCCCGACUCCUACGGGAGGCAGCAGUAAGGAAUAUUGGUCAAUGGACGAAAGUCUGAACCAGCCAUGCCGCGUGGAGGAUGAAGGUCCUCUGGAUUGUAAACUUCUUUUAUAUGGGACGAAAAAAGGCUUUUCUAAGUCGUCUGACGGUACCAUAUGAAUAAGCACCGGCUAACUCCGUGCCAGCCGCCGCCGUAAUAC